rnacentral:rRNA from 1 species
UACGAAGGGGGCUAGCGUUGUUCGGAAUUAUUGGGCGUAAAGAGCUCGUAGGCGGUCUGUCGCGUCUGCUGUGAAAACUCAGGGCUUAACCCUGAGCUUGCAGUGGGUACGGGCAGACUAGAGUGCGGUAGGGGAGACUGGAAUUCCUGGUGUAGCGGUGAAAUGCGCAGAUAUCAGGAGGAACACCGGUGGCGAAGGCGGGUCUCUGGGCCGUAACUGACGCU